UUUUGCUGUUUUUUUUUUUUUUUUUUUGCAAAUUUGUUCCAACUGAUGGCUUUGUUAGUUUCUCUUCCUUUGGAAUAUUCUGCUUGUAGUAUAUGCUUUGUGAUUUUCUAUACAGAUUGAUGUUCGUACUGAUUUUACUAGCCGAGAAGCAAAGGUUUGGGAAGCUAAAUCCAAAGCAACUGAGAGAAACUAUAAGAAAAGGAAAGAGGAAGAAUUGAUUUGCAAAAUAUGUGGAGAGUCUGGACACUUUACACAGGGCUGUCCAUCAACACUUGGAGCUAAUUGAAAGUCUCAAGAUUUUUUUGAAAGAGUGCCUGCUAGGGAAAAUAAUGUGAAAGCCUUGUUCACCGAGAAAGUGGUAACUCAGAUUGAGAAGGAUAUUGGUUGCAAGAUUAAAAUUGAGGAGAAAUUUAUUAUAGUCUGCGUACCUAUUCAAAGAGAGUUAAGGUGAGCAGUCCAGAUAGUAUUCCAAUUGGCUCUUUUAUUUUGUUUUGGUUUAUGAUUCCUUGGUGAGAAUGGCACAGCUAAACAAUGCAAAGCAACGGUGAGGUAGGAAUUCAAAAGGAACAUGCACAAGAAAGAUCCAGAGGUGAUUCAAAUGCACAUGGAAAAGUGAGGAAAUGCAUGCUAAGAGCCUGUGCGAUCAACUAUUGCUAAGGCUGGGAA